AAAUUGAAGAGUUUGAUCAUGGCUCAGAUUGAACGCUGGCGGCAGGCCUAACACAUGCAAGUCGAACGGUAACAGGAAGCAGCUUGCUGCUUUGCUGACGAGUGGCGGACGGGUGAGUAAUGUCUGGGAAACUGCCUGAUGGAGGGGGAUAACUACUGGAAAUGGUGGCUAAUACCGCAUAA
rnacentral:rRNA from 1 species